CCCUUCAUUCCACCGGAAUCUGUCGAUGCAGAACCCGGAUUUCAGUGAAAUGAAGCCCC
rnacentral:pre_miRNA from 1 species